GAUGAAGGCCUUCGGGUUGUAAACCUCUUUCGACGGGGACGAUAAUGACGGUACCUGUGGAAGAAGCUGCGGCUAACUACGUGCCAGCAGCCGCGGUAAUACGUAGGCGGCGAGCGUUGUUCGGAAUUACUGGGCGUAAAGAGUGUGUAGGCGGUGCUCUAAGUUCGGUGUGAAAUCUCCGGGCUCAACUGGGGGGGUGCGCCGGAAACUGGAGUGCUUGAGGGUGGGAGAGGAAAGUGGAAUUCCUGGUGUAGCGGUGAAAUGCGUAGAUAUCAGGAGGAACACCUGUGGUGAAGGCGGCUUUCUGGACCAUUUCUGACGCUGAGGCACGAAAGCUUGGGUAGCAAACAGGAUUAGAUACCCUGGUAGUCCACGCCCUAAACGAUGCAUACUUGGUGUCGGC
rnacentral:rRNA from 1 species